UUACCAGGUCUUGACAUCCCGAUGCUAUUCUAGAGACAGAAAGUUACUUCGGUACAUCGGUGACAGGUGGUGCAUGGUUGUCGUCAGCUCGUGUCGUGAGAUGUUGGGUUAAGUCCCGCAACGAGCGCAACCCCUAUUGUUAGUUGCCAUCAUUCAGUUGGGCACUCUAGCGAGACUGCCGGUAAUAAACCGGAGGAAGGUGGGGAUGACGUCAAAUCAUCAUGCCCCUUAUGACCUGGGCUACACACGUGCUACAAUGGUUGGUACAACGAGUUGCGAGUCGGUGACGGCGAGCUAAUCUCUUAAAGCCAAUCUCAGUUCGGAUUGUAGGCUGCAACUCGCCUACAUGAAGUCGGAAUCGCUAGUAAUCGCGGAUCAGCACGCCGCGGUGAAUACGUUCCCGGGCCUU
rnacentral:rRNA from 1 species